GACGAACGCUGGCGGCGUGCUUAACACAUGCAAGUCGAACGGAGUGGCGAACGGGUGAGUAACACGUGGGUGACCUGCCCUGCACUUCGGGAUAAGCCUGGGAAACUGGGUCUAAUACCGGAUAGUGUGGGUUUGGCCCCCGGCCGAUCAGCUUGUUGGUGGGGUAAGGGCCUACCAAGUCGGCGACGGUUAGCCGGACUGAGAGGGUGGACGGCCACAUUGGGAAUGGGACGCGGGCCGGAGUCCUACGGGAGGCAGCAGUGGUGGAUAAUGCACAAUGGGCGGAAGCCUGAUGCAGCGACGGCGCGUGGGGGGUGACGGCCUUCGGGUUGGAAACUCCUUUCACCAUCGACGCGGUAGAUGGAGAAGAAGCACCGGCUAAGUACGUGCCAGCCGCCGCGGUAAUUC
rnacentral:rRNA from 1 species